GACGAACGCUGGCGGCGCGCCUAACACAUGCAAGUCGAACGGAGCAUACUUGAAGAAGCCCUCGGGUGGAUUUAGGCAUUGCUUAGUGGCGAACGGGUGAGUAACACGUGAAUAACCUGCCCUAGAGUGGGGGACAACAUUAGGAAACUGAUGCUAAUACCGCAUAAGACCACGGUACCGCAUGGUACAGUGGCCAAAGGAGCAAUUCGCUCUGGGAUGGAUUCGCGUCUGAUUAGCGAGAUGGUGGGGUAAUGGCCUACCAUGGCGACGAUCAGGUGCCGGACUAGGAGGUUGAUAGGCCACAUUGGAACUGCGACACGGCCCAGACUCCGUCGGGAGGCAGCAGUGGGGAAUAUUGCACAAUGGAGGAAACUCUGAUGCAGCGACGCCGCGUGAGGGAAGAAGGUUUUCGGAUUGUAAACCUCUGUCUUCGGGGACGAUAAUGACGGUACCCGAGGAGGAAGCCACGGCUAACUACGUGCCAGCCGCCGCUGUAA
rnacentral:rRNA from 1 species